AGUGAACGCUGGCGGUAGGCCUAACACAUGCAAGUCGAACGGCAGCACAGUAAGAGCUUGCUCUUACGGGUGGCGAGUGGCGGACGGGUGAGGGAUACAUCGGAAUCUACUUUUUCGUGGGGGAUAACGUAGGGAAACUUACGCUAAUACCGCAUACGACCUACGGGUGAAAGCAGGGGAUCUUCGGACCUUGCGCGAUUGAAUGAGCCGAUAUCGGAUUAGCUAGUUGGCGGGGUAAAGGCCCACCAAGGCGACGAUCCGUAGCUGGUCUGAGAGGAUGAUCAGCCACACUGGAACUGAGACACGGUCCAGACUCCUACGGGAGGCAGCAGUGGGGAAUAUUGGACAAUGGGCGCAAGCCUGAUCCAGCCAUACCGCGUGGGUGAAGAAGGCCUUCGGGUUGUAAAGCCCUUUUGUUGGGAAAGAAAGGCAGCAGGUUAAUACCCCGCUGUUCUGACGGUACCCAAAGAAUAAGCACCGGCUAACUUCGUG
rnacentral:rRNA from 1 species